GGCGGCGUGGCCGAAUGGUUUAGGGCGCUGGAUUUAAAAUCUGGCGGUCAUUGGUUCUAAUCUAUGAAGCCAAAUCCUCCACCCUGCCA
rnacentral:tRNA from 1 species